ACUGCUCAGUAACACGUAGCUAAUCUACCUUAGAUUGAGGAUAACCUCGGGAAACUGAGGAUAAUACUCAAUAGGAAACAUGCCCUGGAAUGACUUGUUUCUAAAAUUCGAGUCUAAGGAUGAGGCUGCGGCGGAUUAGGUUGUUGGCGGGGUAAUAGCCCACCAAGCCUGUGAUCCGUAAGGGCUCUUAGCGGAGGGGCCCUGAGAGGGAAUCUGAGACACUAUUCCCAGCCCUACGGGGUGCAGCAGUCGGGAAUUUUCUGCAAUGCGCGCAAGCGUGACAGAGCGAACCAAAGUGCUUCUCAUUGAGAAGCUUUUGCCAAGUGCAAAUAGCUUGGCGAAUAAGGACUGGGUAAGACUAGUGCCAGCCGCCGCGGUAAUCCUAGCGGUCCAAGUCGCAGCCAACAUUAUUAGGUCUAAAACAUCCGUAGCUUGCUCUGUAAGUCUUCUGUGAAAUCCGGCAUCUCAAGUGUCGGGCGGGCAGAAGGUACUGCAGUGCUAGAGACUGGGGAGACGUAAGAAGUACAUCUAAAGUAGUGGUAAAAUACGUUAAUCUUAGGUGGACUCACAACAGCGAAGGCAUCUUACGAGAACAGUUCUGACAGUGAGGGAUGAAGGCUAGGGGCGCAAAACGGAUUAGAUACCCGUGUAGUCCUAGCAGUAAACACUGCACAUUAAACAUCGGGACCUCCUCGAGAGGUUUCGGUGCUGAAGGGAAGCCGAGAAUGUGCUACCUGGGGAGUAUAGUCGCAAGGCCGAAACUUAAAGGAAUUGGCGGGGGAGCAC
rnacentral:rRNA from 1 species